GGUUCGCUCUCUGAGGCCGUGGGACGGUGACUGCGUUGGGCGUGGACGCUCCUAGCUCGCUCCCUCGGCGGCUCCUGGGACCCCAAGAUGGCGGCGGCGCUGAGGCGGCUGCGGGCGCUGGGCCGGCGGCGGCGGCGGCCACUUUCACUCACUGAGAGGAGCGGAGCAGGGACACGGGGAGCCAUGGCGGGGGGGAGGAGAGGCGCCAUAGCCAGGCCAGAACAAUCGAGCCGCUACUCAGCGGGCUUACCGCUGCCCCGCCCACGCUCACUGCUCGUCGCCAGCCCGUGGCCGUCCGCAGUGCAGCUGCGGUCGGCCUCGUGCAGCUCGCACCCCGCCGCUACAACCUGACGCCCCGCGCGGACCGGGGUUCGGGGGGAGAUCCUGAUCCAUGCCAUCUGAGUGCAGAUUGGUCGGGGCUGGGACUGCCGAAGAUUGCCGAAAGGCGGCGGGGAGGAGGAGGAGGAUGUCAUCGCUAGAGUGAGCAAGCAGAUCUCGCGGGAGCAAAUGUCGCGAGACCUCUCCAGCUUCCAGAGGCUACUUGCAUUCCUCGGCUCCUGGCUCCCUUCUUCCAUCUAAAAGCCAGCAAUGAUGAGUAACACAGCGACUCUACAAGGGGUGGGGAGGAAAAGAACUCACCUAAGUACUGAGGGAAACAGUAUCUUGACUGGAUACCUAAGAAUAAACCAACUGAACUGUACAUAAAUUCUGUGAUCCACAUCGUAAGUAUUUCUCUCCAGUAUGCAUGUUAGAAUUAAGCAAAUAUAUUGUAGAUCAUAAGCUGUGUUUCUCACUGUUGGAGAAAAAAGUUAUUAAGUAAGGAAGAGGGGAAAGCUAAAAUGAAGGCUGUGGUGUUGGAUUGGAUUCUGAGGUAUCUGUAUAAACUCAUGGUUUUUAAUAUAUGUAAAAUAGGUACAGAAAUAUAGAUUGGUGUGUAUGUGUGAAUUAAUAAACAUAUUUCCUAGUUCUGUCUGCUGAGAGUAUUUAGAAGCAAUGAGGAUACCUAGCAUCCAGAUCUUGAUUUCUAAACACCAUUUUCCAAUAAAAAGAACAAGGAGAACCUUGGAGAAAUAACUGAUUCCUAGGCUGAGGCAGGGAAACUACCAGAUGAGCCUGGAAUAUAUUGUGGUGCCAGGAAAUAAUGCUUAAAAAAGGAUGUCACAAGAACACAGCAGCCAAUCUGAAAGAGCUCCUAAUGGCCAAAGCAACAAAAUAAAAAUGACAAUAUUGCAUUAUGACCCAUGGACCCAUGGUAUUUAUUUUUAAUAUUCAUGCAUCCAUACUGAUACAAACAAAUAAUUGGUUAUUUAAAUGGAUGGGAGAAAAGGGACAACCCUUUCUUAGAGUAGAAUUCCAAUUAAUAAAUGGAGAAGGAAAGAGGGAUAACAAAAAUCACCACUAGGCAAACAUUGCAGUAAUAACUUGCAGACACGAUCCACAGAUGGAUGCUAAAUUAGUAGGUGAAAAUUUGAGGAGAAACAGGAUUUACAUAGAUUCAAAGUGUUUCACCCAAGAUACAUUUUAGCACAAAGGGAAAGAUAGUAACUUAAUAAUGGUGAGGGACUUCCCUGGUGGCACAGUGGUUAAGAAUCUGCCUGCCAACGAAGGGGAAAUGCGUUUGAUCCUUGGUCUGGGAAGAUCCCAUAUGCCACGGAGCAGUUAAGCCCAUGUGCCACAACUACCGAGCCUGCACUCUAGAGCCCAUGAGCCACAACUACUGAGGCAGCAUGCCCCAACUACUGAAGCCCGCGCACGUAGAGCCUGUGCUUCUCAAGAAGAGAAGCCACCAUUGGGCUUCCCUGGUGGCGCAGUGGUUGAGAGUCCGCCUGCCGAUGCAGGGGACACGGGUUUGUGCCGCGGUCUGCGAAGAUCCCACAUGCCGC